rnacentral:sRNA from 1 species
AAAAGAAAGAAAGAAAGAA